AAUAGGGCUCUGGUCACUAGUAGUUCACUAUAUAGGGAAUAGGGCUCUGGUCACUAGUAGUUCACUAUAUAGGGAAUAGGGCUCUGGUCACUAGUAGUUCACUAUAUAGGGAAUAGGGCUCUGGUCACUAGUAGUUCACUAUAUAGGGAAUAGGGUGCCAUUUGGGCUGCUGCCUGAUAACAGCCUACUGUACAACACACUAGAAGUCGACCGAUUAAUCAGGAUGGCCAAUUAAUUAGUUCAAGUUUUCACAACAAUCGGAAAUCGGUAUUUAUUUUCAAUGACGGCCUCGGAACGGUGGGUUAACUGCCUUGUUCAGGGGCAGAACGACAGAUUUUCACCUUGUCAGCUCGGGGGAUCCAAUCUUGCAACCUUACAGUUAACUAGUCCAACGCUAUAACCACCUGCCUCUCGUUGCACUCCACAAGGAGCCUGCCUGUUACGCGAAUGCAGUAGAAGCCAAGGUAAGUUGCUAGCUAGUUGCUAGCUAGCAUUAUAAAAAAAAAUCAAUCAAUCAUAAUCACUAGUUAACUGUGUUGCAUAUAAUCUAUAGUCCUGUGUUGCAUAUAAUCUAUAGUCCUGUGUUGCAUAUAAUCUAUAGUCCUGUGUUGCAUAUAAUCUAUAGUCCUGUGUUGCAUAUAAUCUGACUAAGCAUACAAGUAUCUGACUGAGCAGUGGUAGGCAGCAACAGGCUCGUAAGCAUUCAGUCAAACAGCACUUUCGUGCGUUUUGCCAGCAGCUCUUCGCAAGCACCUCGCUGUUUAUGACUUCAAGUCUAUCAGCCUAAUGGCUGGUGUAACCAAUGUGAAAUGGCUAGCUAGUUAGCUGGGUGUGCGCUAAUAGCGUUUCAAACAUCACUCGCUCUGAGACUUGGAGUAGUUGUUCCCCUUGCCCUGCAAAGGGCCACGGCUUUUGUGGAGCGAUGGGUAACACUGCUUCGAGUGUGGCUGUUGUCGAUGUGUUCCUGGUUCGAGCCCAGGUAGCGGCGAGGAGAUGGACGGAAGCUAUACUGUUACACUGGCAAUACUAAAGUGCCUAUAAGAACAUCCAAUAGUCAAAGGUAUAUGAAAUACAAAUGGUAUAGAGAGAAAUAGUCCUAUAAUAACCUCAACCUAAAGCUUCUUAACUGAGAAUAUUUAAGACUCAUGUUAAAAGGAACCACCAACUUUCAUAUAUUCUCAUGUUCUGAGCAAGGAACUGAAACAUUAGCUUUUCUUACAAAGCACAUAUUGCACUUUUACUUCUCCAACACUUUGUUUUUGCAUUAUUUAAAUCAAAUUGAACAUGUUCCAUUAUUUAUUUGAGGCUAAAUUGAUUUUUUAUUGAUAUAUUAUAUUAAGUUAAAAUAACUGUGCAUUCAGUAUUGUUGUAAUUGUCAUUAUUACAAAUAAAUGAAUAACAAAUUGAUUUUUUUAAAUCAUAAUCGGUCGACCUCGACAACACACACGACUCUGACACAGUGUUCAUUAAUGACAGUAACAUUUUAAUGUCGGACCUGAUAUUAAUCAGAUAUCAGCAGGGAACAUACCAUCUCCUCAGGUUAUCUGACAAUACACUAGUACCCCUCAACCCAGUACAUCCAUAGAGAGGUACCCCUCAACCCAGUACAUCCAUAGAGAGGUACCCCUCAACCCAGUACAUCCAU
ensembl:lncRNA